rnacentral:rRNA from 1 species
GUGACUAAUACCGCAUAAUAUUCUUGGAAGGCAUCUUCCGAGAAGGAAAGGAAAUAUUCGGUAAAAGAUGGGCCCGCAUCUGAUUAGCUAGUUGGUGAGAUAACAGCCCACCAAGGCGACGAUCAGUAGCCGACCUGAGAGGGUGACCGGCCACAUUGGGACUGAGACACGGCCCAAACUCCUACGGGAGGCAGCAGUGGGGAAUAUUGCACAAUGGGGGGAACCCUGAUGCAGCAACGCCGCGUGAAGGAAGACGGUUUUCGGAUUGUAAACUUCUAUCAAUAGGGAAGAAAGAAAUGACGGUACCUAAAUAAGAAGCCCCGGCUAACUACGUGCCAGCAGCCGCGGUAAUACGUAGGGGGCAAGCGUUAUCCGGAAUUACUGGGUGUAAAGGGAGAGUAGGCGGCAAGGUAAGCGAUAUGUGAAAGCCUUGGGCUUAACCUGAGGAUUGCAUAACGAACUAUCUAGCUAGAGUACAGGAGAGGAAAGCGGAAUUCCUAGUGUAGCGGUGAAAUGCGUAGAUAUUAGGAAGAACACCAGUGGCGAAGGCGGCUUUCUGGACUGAAACUGACGCUGAGGCUCGAAAGCGUGGGGAGCGAACAGGAUUAGAUACCCUGGUAGUCCACGCUGUAAACGA